GCAAUUUUUAAAAAUGUCCUUUGGUGAGGAUAAAAAAUAAUUUAAAAAAUAGCUAUUUUGAGUUUGAAUACCAAGUAAACUUUGUGAUUUCAGAAACCUCCAAAUAAGAGUACGGAUGAGCCCCUUUCAAAAUCAGAACAAAACUUGUGAUUUCCACAGGCAGGAGGAGAUGGGUUCAUCAUGAGAAAGGCAUCCACGGAAAUCAAGUCAGUUAACCACACAAGCCCGGGGAUCCCAACUGCCACACUCUCAGUAGUGACCGAACAAGGACUGGUGUCUUGAGUCCGCGCCCCUAGAAGCAAAGUCUAAGCUGAGGAUUUAUGGAUGGGGUUUAUUAAAGAAGGGCUCCCUAGGAAAACGGGGAAGGGAGUGGGAGGAAACAUGACAGGAGAGGGAAAGAAGCCAAGCAAGAGUCCUUUUCCAAGUGAAGAGCCUCGAAGGGGAGCUUCGGUUUGGUCCCACCAGGGAAACUACAGAUGGCGAGUUGUAAGUGGGAGUUUGUCCCAACUUAAAGGAAGGGUGCUGAGUUUUCACAUGUGCCAGGGAGGACAUGAAUCCAGAAGUCCAAGGGCACUCCUCUGAAGAAAGUCUCGACUGCUCACCAGCACAAGCAAAACAUCCAGAGGCUGGUGUAGGGGCACAGAAAUGAUAAAAGGAAUUCAAGGAGAGGGGUGGAAUGCCAACACUGGGUAAUACACAGAAUGAUGAAAAAUGGGCAAGGAUGCUCUUCAUCCAAUCAACAUAACCAAUUCUUUUCUGGGACAACUUUUGGACCAUACUUUCCUUGGACAGGUGCGGCCAAUGUCCUUGUCCCAACAGUAGCACAAACAUGCCAGGAUAACCCCUAAAACAUUACGUUAAUUGAAGGCUACCAUUAGAGCAUGCAGAAGAGGGAGAAUACUACUGGAUUUGAAAUGCAUAUGUCUGCAAAGCAAUUUCUUCCCAGUGGCAGAAGCAAUUCAAUCACCACCCUGGUGCUGCAGAUGUAAUAGCUUAAUUUUCUAUGGACUGACAAUGUCCAUCCUAACAAGCCCCUUGUGGAACGCCUCAGGACAAGCUGCACAACAUGCCAUUUGGUGCUGCGUGCUUACAUAAUGAUGCCCCCUCCAGAAAGACUUCACAGGGUGGGCAGGGAGGAAUGAGUUAGCAGGGAAACUUAAGCACUGCUUCAAUAUUGAGAGAACAUAAGGUAUUAUUAUAGGAUUAAUAAGCAAGGCUAGUUCAGCAAUAGGGAAGGCUGCCAAAGGAGGCUGUGGAAUUGUUAUCACUGGAGAUAAUGAAGGCUGAGAAUAGAUGCCCACCCAGAAUGGAUUUUAUAGACAAUAAAAAUCUAUCCCACUCUUCUAGAAAGGGGAUGAGCUAUGCGCUUCACUGUCGGUCUCUUCCAGCCCAGAUAAUUUCAUAAAUUAGAUAAAGCAGAUUAGUUUAAAAUAUUACUCAUUAAGUAUUACUUCUUCCAAAGUGUAUCGGAUACAGGGGUGGCUGAAUGCAGAAGCUAUUGAGUGACAAACAUAACUGGAAUUAUAAACCACGGCUAGCACCAAUAAACAAACACCCACUCUGAAAACAGGAUGACGGGAAUCCAGGAAGGCGAGAUUUUUACAGUGUGGAGAAAUAGAGACCAAAAUACCACAUGGUGGUAUAUUUGAACUUCAGGUAUCUGGGGGCCUGGAUGAGCGACAGUUCCAAGUGUUGAGUCUGUUCAAACACUGCCUGAUGUCUGAGGUGAAGAGACAUAGAGCUCUGAAUACUUAGUCUAUUCUGGCAACAGCCCCUAGUAACCUCAUAGGGAACGAUGUGAAGUUCACAAAGAUUUGAAUAGCUGUGUAGGACAAAUUGGAAUGAAUAAUUUUUAAAAGUAUCCUGUGAGUGGGGCAAGGGGUUCAGAUUUUCGAGAUCUGAUCAUGGUCUGUUGAGGUCAGGGACAAAUUUUUAAAAGUUCAUUGGUGACUAGAGUAUUGGCUUAUCACUCAGAUGUUGGGACUGUGGUUAAUUAGGCACUAUGCCUGCCUCAGUGCUUGGCAGACUGACACACCCAAUUUUCUUUGAAUGAGUAAACUGAGACAAUGAUGAAUCUACCUACUUAACACUCUGCAGUAGCCUCUGACCAAAGGAGGAACAGAGGAUGAGAGAUUUCUCUAAAUGGUACCACUUUGCUAUGCUGCAAUUCUAGGACUGAACUCUUAAUAGACUAUUUCUUUUGGUUUCAUUCUAAAUCUUUUAAUAAACCCCCUUGCUGGGAAACUAAGUCUGUGGUUUUUCAGUGUAUGUGCAUUGGACAUAAGUGAAUUGGAAACUACUGUGAUUUUUAAAUUUUAGAUUCUUAUCCUAGAGCAACACAAUAAAUUACGGGAACCUCUCAACCACCCCCCACCCUUCCAAAUUUUAAUCACACCAUGCACUCUGGAGAACUGUAUAGACAUUCUAAAGCUCGCAUGCUCAUACUUGUCAUUAGUUCAUGAAAAUGUUGGUACAGCUGUGCCCUGAAACUGGAAGGGUUACCUCCGAAAAACUGGAGAAGAUUUAAUUAAAUUAUAGGGAAAUUAAAAGCCAAAAACACCUAUGUACCUAUAUACUAGAAUUGAAAAGACCAUUAACUUACUUUUCAGAGUAAAAAAUGAUGUUGAUUUACAUUUCAGCAAAUACAUAAAAAUCAUAAAAUCUUAACUCAGUCUCCAUUUACUAACAGUACCCCAAAUGAUAAACUAUAGCCAAAAAUAAGAAUUUCCCCAUCUGAACAGUCUUUUAUUUUUUGAAAUAUUUAUUUAGUGCCUAUUGUGUGCAAAACACCAUACUGAGAACUGAGGAACAAAGACUAAUCAAAUCAUCGUGUAAACAAAGGUGAACUUGAAAUUGGGACAAGCUUUAGGAAGUAAAUAGUUCCCUGAGCACCUACCCAGGAGGUUCCGAUCCAGGCAAAGAGGUCAAGGAAGGCUGCCAUGAGGAAGGGAGAGCUGAACAGAGAUUAGAAGAAUAAACAGAAGCUAAGUAAGUGAAGAAGGAAGAGAAGGCUUUCUAGUCCAUAAAAAUACUAGUGGCAUCAACUGCCAGUAAAUGCAGCUAGAUGGUGGGGAAAAGGAGGAGGGCACCCUGUAGAUUUCUUAAGUCAUAUAACCUUCCCACGGAACCUGUGGAAAGAAACAGAUCAGCCCCAAUUCUGGGAUGAAGAAGUGGGUGGUGGGGAUGGUAGAAUUGAAAAGGAAUUGUAUAAUACUGAUUAGCCAUUUUUUGUUUACCUUCACAGACUUUAAAAUUUCACUGCAGAUUGCUCAUGUUUACAGAAAGCCUAUCUGUCAUUUGUUUCUAACAAAUAAUCACCAUCUCAGCACUCUUAGACUGUUUAUUUCAACACUAAAGUCAUGUCUACUAUCGAAUACUCCUGGUUUCAAUAUAAAAUUUGGUCACUU